rnacentral:rRNA from 1 species
UACGUAGGGUGCGAGCGUUAAUCGGAAUUACUGGGCGUAAAGCGUGCGUAGGCGGUUCGUUAAGUUCGUUGUGAAAGCCCCGGGCUCAACCUGGGGAUGGCAAUGGAAACUGGCGGGCUGGAGUAUGGCAGAGGGGGGUAGAAUUCCACGUGUAGCAGUGAAAUGCGUAGAGAUGUGGAGGAACACCGAUGGCGAAGGCAGCCCCCUGGGUCAAAACUGACGCUCAUGCACGAAAGCGUGGGGAGCAAACAGG